GCGGCGGCAGGCCUCAGCGCGCGGGGCUGCUAGUCACGGAGGGAUCCCUCCUUUGGUGCUGCCUAACCAGUGAGUCCUUUAAAUACGCUCCAGCAGUGGUCACGCAGAACUGACAAACUUAAACUGAAGGAGGGAAGAUGAUGUCCUUGGAUGGACCACGGAAGACAAUCAGUAACCCGAUUAUUCCAUAUGUUGGCACAAUACUUGGUGGCCUUGUACCUGGAGAGCUGAUUAUGAUACAUGGGACUGUUCCUGAUGAUGCAGACAGGUUCCAGGUGGAUUUACAGUGUGGCAGCAGCACAAAGCCUCGAGCUGAUGUGGCGUUUCAUUUCAACCCCCGCUUCAAAAGGUCUGGCUGCAUUGUUUGCAACACACUGGAGAGGGAAAAAUGGGGCUGGGAGGAGAUCACUUACGAGAUGCCCUUUCAAAAAGGGAAGUCAUUUGAGAUUGUCAUCAUGAUUUUAAAGGAUAAAUUCCAGGUGGCUGUAAACAAGAAGCACUUGCUGCUCUACAACCACAGAAUUAGCCUUGGAAGAAUAGAUACUCUUGGAAUAUAUGGCAAAGUGCAGAUCAAAACAAUAGAUUUUGUUUCUGUUUCUUUACAAGGGUCUCAGCUAUCAUCUCUAGGAGUAACAAAGAUAAACACAGAAAAUGGGGAAAUGCCAGAUGGUUCGCAAUUUGGAGUUCCUUAUGUUGGGAAGCUUGAUACUGCGCUUCGUCCAGGAUGCACAGUUGCCAUUAAAGGAGAAGUGAAUAAAAACCCGAAGAGUUCACACAGUUGUAGGUGUUCCUUUUUCUUGGUGAAAAAGAAGACUUCACACAGUUUGGAAGUGUGGCUGUUGCUGUAUUUCGUAGCUGGACUAAGCAAUUCUAGGCUUCUCAAAAGAGGGAAAUAAUCUGACAGCUGGAGCUGAUUUGGGGGGAGGAUUAUUUCCUCAAAUGCAGCGAGGUCUUUGCCACAGGUUGAAGCAUUCAUUUGAAUUUGGAUGAGUCUUCCCUCUGAUCAUUCUUCUUCAAAGCUCCCCUUUAGGAACCCUGUGCUGUGGACAUGUCUGGAGAUGGCAGAGUAUUUGUUCAGCCUGGGCCAAGCUGCACUGCGUACAAAGCAACACUUUGUAUGUGUGGUGUCCCACCAAUCUUAAAUGUAGGGAGAGAAUCCUCAAACUUUUCCUUAGAGUCUAACCAGUUUGUUGGCAGAAAGAAUAGGUAAAACAAAGCCUCCCACUCUCCACUGCCCGAGUUAAGAGAAAGAGAUGGUGGAGCAAGUAGCACUGUCUGUUUCUGUGAGAACACUGCUUCCUAGUGCUGUAGGGGAGCAGCACUUGGCCCACUUGACUCAAUACCUCCUUGCUGAGACAUGAACAGAAAGGUGUGAGUGAUGAAGCAGAUCUAGCAGGGUCAUGUCCUACAUUUGCUGCCUCCAGCAAAGGUUUCUGUGCGAAGGAGACAAAUGGAUGUUAACUGCCUGCUUGGUCCUUCAGCUUUGUGAUAAAUCUGAAAUCAAGUGACUCAAAGGACAUUG